rnacentral:rRNA from 1 species
AAAUUGAAGAGUUUGAUCAUGGCUCAGAUUGAACGCUGGCGGCAGGCCUAACACAUGCAAGUCGAACGGUAACAGGAAGCAGCUUGCUGCUUCGCUGACGAGUGGCGGACGGGUGAGUAAUGUCUGGGAAACUGCCUGAUGGAGGGGGAUAACUACUGGAAACGGUGGCUAAUACCGCAUAACGUCGCAAGACCAAAGAGGGGGACCUUCGGGCCUCUUGCCAUCAGAUGUGCCCAGAUGGGAUUAGCUAGUUGGUGAGGUAACGGCUCACCAAGGCGACGAUCCCUAGCUGGUCUGAGAGGAUGACCAGCCACACUGGAACUGAGACACGGUCCAGACUCCUACGGGAGGCAGCAGUGGGGAAUAUUGCACAAUGGGCGCAAGCCUGAUGCAGCCAUGCCGCGUGUAUGAAGAAGGCCUUCGGGUUGUAAAGUACUUUCAGCGGGGAGGAAGGUGUUGCGGUUAAUAACCGCAGCAAUUGACGUUACCCGCAGAAGAAGCACCGGCUAACUCCGUGCCAGCAGCCGCGGUAAUACGGAGGGUGCGAGCGUUAAUCGGAAUUACUGGGCGUAAAGCGCACGCAGGCGGUCUGUCAAGUCGGAUGUGAAAUCCCCGGGCUCAACCUGGGAACUGCAUUCGAAACUGGCAGGCUUGAGUCUUGUAGAGGGGGGUAGAAUUCCAGGUGUAGCGGUGAAAUGCGUAGAGAUCUGGAGGAAUACCGGUGGCGAAGGCGGCCCCCUGGACAAAGACUGACGCUCAGGUGCGAAAGCGUGGGGAGCAAACAGGAUUAGAUACCCUGGUAGUCCACGCCGUAAACGAUGUCUACUUGGAGGUUGUGCCCUUGAGGCGUGGCUUCCGGAGCUAACGCGUUAAGUAGACCGCCUGGGGAGUACGGCCGCAAGGUUAAAACUCAAAUGAAUUGACGGGGGCCCGCACAAGCGGUGGAGCAUGUGGUUUAAUUCGAUGCAACGCGAAGAACCUUACCUGGUCUUGACAUCCACAGAAGAAUCCAGAGAUGGAUUGGUGCCUUCGGGAACUGUGAGACAGGUGCUGCAUGGCUGUCGUCAGCUCGUGUUGUGAAAUGUUGGGUUAAGUCCCGCAACGAGCG